GUACAAAGUAUUUGAUAACGAGACAAAUAUAAAAAAUGGAGCUUCCUAUCCUGGAAUCUGAAAAUAAAUCCCAGAACCUUCGGAAAUGGGAUUAGCAUGAAAUUGCCCAUAAAAUGCAUAAACAAUGACGGUAAUAAUACUGACCACCACAAAUCUAACCCAGGCUUCUUGGUGUAACUGAGCAAAUAGGAACAUGUUGACGAAUAUGCAAAGGGCCGGUACAUAGGGAACUCCCGGACAAGGAAAUCCUGGCACAUCUCCGUAGAUAUGGCGAAGAUGAAGAGCGAUCGAUGCAAGAAAUGCUAAAACAGCAGCUACAACAGAAACCCACAGCGA
rnacentral:misc_RNA from 1 species